UACGGAGGGUGCGAGCGUUGUCCGGAAUUACUGGGCGUAAAGCGUGCGCAGGCGGUUGUGCAAGACCGAUGUGAAAUCCCCGGGCUUAACCUGGGAAUGGCAUUGGUGACUGCACGGCUAGAGUGUGUCAGAGGGGGGUAGAAUUCCACGUGUAGCAGUGAAAUGCGUAGAUAUGUGGAGGAACACCGAUGGCGAAGGCAAUCCCCUGGGCCUGCACUGACGCUCAUGCACGAAAGCGUGGGGAGCAAACAGG
rnacentral:rRNA from 1 species